ensembl:lncRNA
AAAUAAUUUGGGUGAUUAUUGGCCUACACAUACUAAUCAUAAAUCAGAACGGGCUACCUUUGGCUGAAAAAUGAAAAGUAAUAUGAAGAGCCGUUUGGGAGCCAAAAGAGCCGGGUCUUGUUGGUGAGCUGAUCCAAAUGAUCCGGCUCACUAAAAAAAGGCUGAAAUUCCCCUCUGGUCGCGCAUUGACAGUAGCGUCGUCUUGUUGUUUACCUUCCUAAUGUCUGGAUCUCCCUAUGGUCUCUGCGGUAAACGUCACGCUUUGAACUGUGGGUAAUUCCCUGAGGUGAAGUCUGCACUGAUGCGGACUCACAGAAAGGGCUCGGUAGGUGUGGACUCAAACCCUCACGCCCUUUGGAAUCCGACAUUGGGACAGCCCUGAAGCCUUAAUAACACGCAACAAAGUCUGUGAGUCCGUGAGUCCGGACAUUGGGAUGGGGCGACUAUGUCUCACAAUGGCAUCAGCUCUCUACUGUACUGGGAUGGUUACUGGGCCGUAUGGCAUCAUGUCUGUACUGUACUGGGAUGGUUACUGGGCCGUAUGGCAUCAUGUCUGUACUGUACUGGGAUGGUUACUGGGCAGUAUGGCAUCAGCUCUCUACUGUACUGGGAUGGUUACUGGGCAGUAUGGUAUCAUCUCUCUACUGUACUGGGAUGGUUACUGGGCAGUAUGGUAUCAUGUCUGUACUGUACUGGGAUGGUUACUGGGCAGUAUGGCAUCAUGUCUGUACUGUACUGGGAUGGUUACUGGGCCGUAUGGCAUCAUGUCUGUACUGUACUGGGAUGGUUACUGGGCAGUAUGGUAUCAUCUCUCUACUGUACUGGGAGGGUUACUGGGCAGUAUGGCAUCAUGUCUGUACUGUACUGGGAUGGUUACUGGGCCGUAUGGCAUCAUGUCUGUACUGUACUGGGAUGGUUACUGGGCCGUAUGGCAUCAUGUCUGUACUGUACUGGGAUGGUUACUGGGCCGUAUGGCAUCAUGUCUGUACUGUACUGGGAUGGUUACUGGGCAGUAUGGUAUCAUGUCUGUACUGUACUGGGAUGGUUACUGGGCAGUAUGGGAUGUCUCUACUGUACUGGGAUGGUUACUGGGCAGUAUGGUAUCAUGUCUGUACUGUACUGGGAUGGUUACUGGGCAGUAUGGUAUCAUGUCUGUACUGUACUGGGAUGGUUACUGGGCAGUAUGGUAUCAUGUCUGUACUGUACUGGGAGGGUUACUGGGCAGUAUGGUAUCAUGUCUGUACUGUACUGGGAGGGUUACUGGGCAGUAUGGUAUCAUGUCUGUACUGUGUGUGCUGUGUGUUGCGUGACAGCCGAUGCCGUAUGAACAGCAGUCUGUUGCCGCGGGGACGCCCCUGCAGCCAGGCCUGGGGUUCAACCAGGCCCAGUUCCAGCCUGGCCAGAGCUCCCAGCACGCGGUCAUGAUGCGGCAGAAGUCCAUCGGU